CUCCCUUCUUUUUCUUUUCCAGCCAACAGCUGCCUUUUCUUUCCCUCGCUGUCUCGGUUUCUUGGCAGCAGCCAUCGAAGCUCACUGGAGCUCAUCGAAGCUACCAGUAGAAAGGGGAAAAGCAGCCCUAGUGGCUAUUCUCUUCCAGAAAACAAGUGCAACAACUCUUUCCCCCUUCUUUCGUUGUUUUUUCCAACCAACCACAACCAUCGGAGCCCCGCCGAAGCUAGCCGUGGCCAUUGGCGAAAAGGUGAAAAGCACGAGCAAUUCCUGAUCUCAUCACUUCAAGUGAGGACAGUGGUGCUCCAACCGAUUGCUAAGCCAAGAGGAUCGAAGAGCCACCGUUGGCUCCUCAUUUUUCAAACUCUGAGGUUAUUGGUAGUAUGAUGACCAAUUAAAGGACAAAGGAACAAAUAUUCAUGGCAGCUGGUUCUUCAUCAUCAACAUCUUUCACUCGAAGACGCAUGAAUGAUGAAUAAGGUGAAACACCUCAUAUAUUAUGCUAUUGUGGGUUAAGAGCUACUCUCUGGACUUCAUGGAAGGAAACCAACCCAGGCAAGUGUUUUUUUUCAUGCCCAAAAUUUAUAGUAAGUUUUAUUUAUAUAAAAUGAUUUCAAAACCAACCGUAUUUAUAUGCUUUUUAAUUAUUGGAUUUUGAUUAAGUUUAUUCGAUAUUCAGGAAAGAGGAUGUGACUUCUUCAGUCAUAAUCCAGUCAGAGAGAACUAAGGGAAUUAUUAAUGAUCUGAAUAAGGAUAACAAAAAAUUACAGAUGAAUAUUAGUGAAUUGAAGAAAUUUAAUAUGUACAUCAAAAGUGUAGUUGAUUGCAAUGUUCUCCUGGAGCCUGUGAACAACUCUGUUACUAUGAAGUUGAGUGAUGAAAUAUGUUCAUUGAAUAGAAAAUUUAGAGUUGCUAUCGUUGUAGUUAUAUUUACUUGGAUUGUGAUGAUUUAGAGGUGGUUGGUAUAAUUUGCUAUAAGUAAAUAACUGUUGAAGUAAUGAAAGGUGUUUUUGGUUUUUUAA